UGGUCAUCAGCGGCUGCUUCUCCAGCGACAACACUGCUCUAGCCUGGGUGUUUCCAAAACAAAGCCAGCUGCCACGGGUCCACGUAGAUGGGGUCAGCCUACGACUCCCUCAUUCCUGCCUUCGGACUAACGUUCAGAAGACUUCCCUGUUUUCUAGCUUGGGCUGUGCACCUAGGAAGGCCCCAUCGGAGACUGCUGCCUCUGAGAAGAACAGAAAGUCCCAGCUGGACUUAGGAAGGAUGAAAUCCAUCCCAGGCCCGAGCUCUCUGAAAAGUUGUUAUUAAAUUCCACGCGUGGCCCUGACCUGGAUUUAAA